rnacentral:rRNA from 1 species
AUUGAACGCUGGCGGCAUGCCUUACACAUGCAAGUCGAACGGCAGCACGGAGCUUGCUCUGGUGGCGAGCGGCGAACGGGUGAGUAAUAUAUCGGAACGUACCCUAGAGUGGGGGAUAACGUAGCGAAAGUUACGCUAAUACCGCAUACGAUCUAAGGAUGAAAGUGGGGGAUCGCAAGACCUCAUGCUCGUGGAGCGGCCGAUAUCUGAUUAGCUAGUUGGUAGGGUAAAAGCCUACCAAGGCAUCGAUCAGUAGCUGGUCUGAGAGGACGACCAGCCACACUGGAACUGAGACACGGUCCAGACUCCUACGGGAGGCAGCAGUGGGGAAUUUUGGACAAUGGGCGAAAGCCUGAUCCAGCAAUGCCGCGUGAGUGAAGAAGGCCUUCGGGUUGUAAAGCUCUUUUGUCAGGGAAGAAACGGUGAGAGCUAAUAUCUCUUGCUAAUGACGGUACCUGAAGAAUAAGCACCGGCUAACUACGUGCCAGCAGCCGCGGUAAUACGUAGGGUGCAAGCGUUAAUCGGAAUUACUGGGCGUAAAGCGUGCGCAGGCGGUUUUGUAAGUCUGAUGUGAAAUCCCCGGGCUCAACCUGGGAAUUGCAUUGGAGACUGCAAGGCUAGAAUCUGGCAGAGGGGGGUAGAAUUCCACGUGUAGCAGUGAAAUGCGUAGAUAUGUGGAGGAACACCGAUGGCGAAGGCAGCCCCCUGGGUCAAGAUUGACGCUCAUGCACGAAGCGUGGGGAGCAAACAGGAUUAGAUACCCUGGUAGUCCACGCCCUAAACGAUGUCUACUAGUUGUCGGGUCUUAAUUGACUUGGUAACGCAGCUAACGCGUGAAGUAGACCGCCUGGGGAGUACGGUCGCAAGAUUAAAACUCAAAGGAAUUGACGGGGACCCGCACAAGCGGUGGAUGAUGUGGAUUAAUUCGAUGCAACGCGAAAAACCUUACCUACCCUUGACAUGGCUGGAAUCCUUGAGAGAUCAGGGAGUGCUCGAAAGAGAACCAGUACACAGGUGCUGCAUGGCUGUCGUCAGCUCGUGUCGUGAGAUGUUGGGUUAAGUCCCGCAACGAGCGCAACCCUUGUCACUAGUUGCUACGAAAGGGCACUCUAAUGAGACUGCCGGUGACAAACCGGAGGAAGGUGGGGAUGACGUCAAGUCCUCAUGGCCCUUAUGGGUAGGGCUUCACACGUCAUACAAUGGUACAUACAGAGCGCCGCCAACCCGCGAGGGGGAGCUAAUCGCAGAAAGUGUAUCGUAGUCCGGAUUGUAGUCUGCAACUCGACUGCAUGAAGUUGGAAUCGCUAGUAAUCGCGGAUCAGCAUGUCGCGGUGAAUACGUUCCCGGGUCU